CCUCCCUGAUACAGUCAUCCCUCCUCAGCCUGGAGGACACGCACAGACACGCAUUCAGGAUUUACUGCUGCACAACUACAUCUCAUCAUCAUGAGGAAGAUCACCGGCAAACACUUGUUGUGCUUCCUCCUGCUCGUCUUCCCGCUGUCCUGGGCUGAGGACACGAAGGGGGAUGCGAGGAAGACUGAGAAUAAUUUAGUUUGGAGCCAAGCGAAGAGCAGACGACUGUUUGCAAGAAGGAAGACUGCACAGGAAAAUCCCCAUGCU